GUUAAGUAACUUAACUUAGUAGGUGGGAGAGCCAGGAUUUGAAUCCGCCAAUUCUAGUCCGAGACCCAGAGCCUAACCACUGGGCUUCCUCCGCAGCCAGCCCACAGGCAAGGCAGGUGAGCGCCAUCCAGCCGUUGCCCUGCUGACAGCCUGGGAGCUCGGCGGAACUACCCCAGGAUGGCACGUACAUUGUCUCACACUUGGAGCCCAGAUCCCUCGCCUCCGACGUGGGCAUGAGAGUCCCCGCUGCCUGGGCUGCUGUGAGGAGGAGGAUGUUCAUCAUAAAAGAGUGAAAAUCGCACCUGGCGCAUGGCAGGCACCCUGAGACUAAUUUUGUUGGCUUCACCACCCUGGAGAAACUUCCUUGAAACAUAAAUCUGUCAAAAGAGGUUUCAAAUACAAUGACCCCACAUGGAAUUCCCUCUGGUGCAGUGGCUGUUCUGAAAGCUGAGGGUCGAAUAUGUUCCACACCCCCGAUCUUCAGGUGGGUGUCACCUUGGGAGCGGGGUGUGGUGCAGAACCUCCUUUCAGGGCCUGCGCCGAAGCUUGGUUCUGAACCUGUGCCCACUUCUCCUGCCACACCUGA